CUACGGAGGAUCCGAGCGUUAUCCGGAUUUAUUGGGUUUAAAGGGUGCGCAGGCGGGAGAUUAAGUCGGCGGUGAAAUUUUGCAGGUCAACUGUAAAAGUGCCUUCGAAACUGGUUUCCUUGAGUGUAGAUGAAGUAGGCGGAAUUUGUGGUGUAGCGGUGAAAUGUAUAGAUAUCACGAGGCACUCCGAUUGCGCAGGCAGCUUACUAAACUACUACUGACGCUCAGGCACGAAGGCGUGGGGAUCAAACAGGAUUAGAUACCCUGGUAGUCCACGCAGUAAACGAUGAUUACUAGCUGUUUGCGAUACAAUGUAAGCGGCUGAGCGAAAGCGUUAAGUAAUCCACCUGGGGAGUAAGUUCGCAAGAAUGAAACUCAAAGGAAUUGACGGGG
rnacentral:rRNA from 1 species